CAGGCUUAACACAUGCAAGUCGAGGGGCAUCAGGAAGAAAGCUUGCUUUCUUUGCUGGCGACCGGCGCACGGGUGAGUAACACGUAUCCAACCUGCCCUUUACUCGGGGAUAGCCUUUCGAAAGAAAGAUUAAUACCCGAUGGCAUAAUGAUUCCGCAUGGUUUCAUUAUUAAAGGAUUCCGGUAAAGGAUGGGGAUGCGUUCCAUUAGGUUGUUGGUGAGGUAACGGCCCACCAAGCCUUCGAUGGAUAGGGGUUCUGAGAGGAAGGUCCCCCACAUUGGAACUGAGACACGGUCCAAACUCCUACGGGAGGCAGCAGUGAGGAAUAUUGGUCAAUGGGCGGUAGCCUGAACCAGCCAAGUAGCGUGAAGGAUGAAGGCUCUAUGGGUCGUAAACUUCUUUUAUAUAAGAAUAAAGUGCAGUAUGUAUACUGUUUUGUAUGUAUUAUAUGAAUAAGGAUCGGCUAACUCCGUGCCAGCAGCCGCGGUAAUACGGAGGAUCCGAGCGUUAUCCGGAUUUAUUGGGUUUAAAGGGAGCGUAGGUGGACUGAUAAGUCAGUUGUGAAAGUUCGCGGCUCAACCGUAAAAUUGCAGUUGAUACUGUCAGUCUUGAGUACAGUAGAGGUGGGCGGAAUUCGUGGUGUAGCGGUGAAAUGCUUAGAUAUCACGAAGAACUCCGAUUGCGAAGGCAGCUCACUGGACUGCAACUGACACUGAUGCUCGAAAGUGUGGGUAUCAAACAGGAUUAGAUACCCUGGUAGUCCACACAGUAAACGAUGAAUACUCGCUGUUUGCGAUAUACAGUAAGCGGCCAAGCGAAAGCAUUAAGUAUUCCACCUGGGGAGUACGCCGGCAACGGUGAAACUCAAAGGAAUUGACGGGGGCCCGCACAAGCGGAGGAACAUGUGGUUUAAUUCGAUGAUACGCGAGGAACCUUACCCGGGCUUAAAUUGCAGUGGAAUGAUGUGGAAACAUGUCAGUGAGCAAUCACCGCUGUGAAGGUGCUGCAUGGUUGUCGUCAGCUCGUGCCGUGAGGUGUCGGCUUAAGUGCCAUAACGAGCGCAACCCUUAUCUUCAGUUACUAACAGGUCAUGCUGAGGACUCUGGAGAGACUGCCGUCGUAAGAUGUGAGGAAGGUGGGGAUGACGUCAAAUCAGCACGGCCCUUACGUCCGGGGCUACACACGUGUUACAACGGGGGGUACAGAAGGCAGCUAGCGGGUGACCGUAUGCUAAUCCCAAAAGCCUCUCUCAGUUCGGAUCGAAGUCUGCAACCCGACUUCGUGAAGCUGGAUUCGCUAGUAAUCGCGCAUCAGCCACGGCGCGGUGAAUACGUUCCCGGGCCUUGUACACACCGCCCGUCAAGCCAUGGGAGCCGGGGGUACCUGAAGUACGUAACCGCAAGGAUCGUCCUAGGGUAAAACUGGUGACUGGGGC
rnacentral:rRNA from 1 species